rnacentral:rRNA from 1 species
AACCGGAUUAGAUACCCUGGUAGUCCACGCCCUAAACGAUGUCAACUAGUUGUUGGGGAUUCAUUUCCUUAGUAACGUAGCUAACGCGUGAAGUUGACCGCCUGGGGAGUACGGUCGCAAGAUUAAAACUCAAAGGAAUUGACGGGGACCCGCACAAGCGGUGGAUGAUGUGGAUUAAUUCGAUGCAACGCGAAAAACCUUACCUACCCUUGACAUGUACGGAAUCCUGCUGAGAGGUGGGAGUGCUCGAAAGAGAACCGUAACACAGGUGCUGCAUGGCUGUCGUAAGCUCGUGUCGUGAGAUGUUGGGUUAAGUCCCGCAACGAGCGCAACCCUUGUCCUUAGUUGCUACGCAAGAGCACUCUAGGGAGACUGCCGGUGACAAACCGGAGGAAGGUGGGGAUGACGUCAAGUCCUCAUGGCCCUUAUGGGUAGGGCUUCACACGUCAUACAAUGGUCGGAACAGAGGGCAGCCAACCCGCGAGGGGGAGCUAAUCCCAGAAAACCGAUCGUAGUCCGGAUCGCAGUCUGCAACUCGACUGCGUGAAGCUGGAAUCGCUAGUAAUCGCGGAUCAGCAUGCCGCGGUGAAUACGUUCCCGGGUCUUGUACACACCGCCCGUCACACCAUGGGAGUGGGUUUUACCAGAAGUAGUUAGCCUAACCGUAAGGAGGG